rnacentral:rRNA from 1 species
GACGAACGCUGGCGGCGUGCUUAACACAUGCAAGUCGAACGGAAAGGCCCUGCUUUUGUGGGGUGCUCGAGUGGCGAACGGGUGAGUAACACGUGAGUAACCUGCCCUUGACUUUGGGAUAACUUCAGGAAACUGGGGCUAAUACCGGAUAGGAGCUCCUGCUGCAUGGUGGGGGUUGGAAAGUUUCGGCGGUUGGGGAUGGACUCGCGGCUUAUCAGCUUGUUGGUGGGGUAGUGGCUUACCAAGGCUUUGACGGGUAGCCGGCCUGAGAGGGUGACCGGCCACAUUGGGACUGAGGUACGGCCCAGACUCCUACGGGAGGCAGAAGUGGGGAAUAUUGCACAAUGGGCGGAAGCCUGAUGCAGCAGCGCCGCGUGCGGGAUGACGGCCUUCGGGUUGUAAACCGCUUUCGCCUGUGACGAAGCGUGAGUGACGGUAAUGGGUAAAGAAGCACCGGCUAACUACGUG